AAAAGGGCUUGUCUUGCCAAAGAUAUGUCAAGUACUUUGAACGUGUUUUGACAUACUUCAAUGGAGAAAACCAGCAUGGGCAAAGGUAUGUUGUAAAUGUGCGAGAACUUGAAGAUUUUCUUAUCAACGAGUGCAUAGCUGAUAAAUAUUGGGCAGAAGCAAGGUGCUCUGCAAGAACUUCACGAUCUUAUUA